rnacentral:rRNA from 1 species
AUUGAACGCUGGCGGCAGGCCUAACACAUGCAAGUCGAACGAGUGGCGGACGGGUGAGUAAUGUCUGGGAAACUGCCUGAUGGAGGGGGAUAACUACUGGAAACGGUAGCUAAAACCGCAUACCAUCGGAUUGGCCCAGCUGGGAUGAGCUAGUGGGUGGGGGAAAGGCUCACCUAGGCGACGAGCCCUAGCUGGUCGAGGAGGAUGACCAGCCACACUGGAACUGAGACACGGCCCAGACUCCUACGGGAGGCAGCAGUGGGGAAUAUUGCACAAUGGGCGCAAGCCUGAUGCAGCAAUGCCGCGUGUGUGAAGAAGGCCUUCGGGUUGUAAAGUACUUUCAGCGGGGAGGCGUUACCUGAAGAGAAAGCACCGGCUAACUCCGUGCCAGCAGCCGCGGUAAUAC